CACGAAGUUAGCCGGGGCUUCUUCUUCAGGUACCGUCAUUAUCUUCCCUGACGAAAGAGCUUUACAACCCUAAGGCCUUCAUCACUCACGCGGCAUGGCUGGAUCAGGGUUGCCCCCAUUGUCCAAUAUUCCCCACUGCUGCCUCCCGUAGGAGUCUGGGCCGUGUCUCAGUCCCAGUGUGGCUGAUCAUCCUCUCAGACCAGCUACUGAUCGUCGCCUUGGUGAGCCAUUACCUCACCAACUAGCUAAUCAGACGCGGGCCAAUCCUUUGGCGAUAAAUCUUUCCCCCGAAGGGCACAUCCGGUAUUAGCUGAAAUUUCUCUCAGUUAUUCCGAACCAAAGGGUAUGUUCCCACGCGUUACUCACCCGUCUGCCACUCCCGCAUUGCUGCGAACGUUCGACUUGCAUGUGUUAAGCCUGCCGCCAGCGUUGUUCUGAGCCAGGAUCAAACUCU
rnacentral:rRNA from 1 species